AGCGCAGGUGGUUGUAUAAGUCUGAAGUAAAAGGCAGUGGCUCAACCAUUGUGUGCUUUGGAAACUGUACAACUUGAGUGCAGAAGGGGAGAGUGGAAUUCCUAGUGUAGCGGUGAAAUGCGUAGAUAUUAGGAGGAACACCAGUGGCGAAGGCGGCUUACUGGUCCAUUAUUGACGCUGAGGCUGAAAGCGUGGGGAGCAAACA
rnacentral:rRNA from 1 species